GCGGGUAUGGUGGAAUUGGCAGACACGAUGGAUUUAGGUUCCAUUGGGCAACCGUGCAGGUUCAAGUCCUGUUACCCGCA
rnacentral:tRNA from 2 species